GAUGAACGCUGGCGGCGUGCCUAAUACAUGCCAGUCGAGCGAACAGACGAGGAGCUUGCUCCUCUGACGUUAGCGGCGGACGGGUGAGUAACACGUGGAUAACCUACCUAUAAGACUGGGAUAACUUCGGGAAACCGGAGCUAAUACCGGAUAAUAUAUUGAACCGCAUGGUUCAAUAGUGAAAGACGGUUUUGCUGUCACUUAUAGAUGGAUCCGCGCCGCAUUAGCUAGUUGGUAAGGUAACGGCUUACCAAGGCAACGAUGCGUAGCCGACCUGAGAGGGUGAUCGGCCACACUGGAACUGAGACACGGUCCAGACUCCUACGGGAGGCAGCAGUAGGGAAUCUUCCGCAAUGGGCGAAAGCCUGACGGAGCAACGCCGCGUGAGUGAUGAAGGUCUUCGGAUCGUAAAACGCUGUUAUUAGGGAAGAACAAAUGUGUAAGUAACUAUGCACGUCUUGACGGUACCUAAUCAGAAAGCCACGGCUAACUACGU
rnacentral:rRNA from 1 species